rnacentral:rRNA from 1 species
UGGGGAAUUUUGGACAAUGGGCGAAAGCCUGAUCCAGCCAUGCCGCGUGAGUGAAGAAGGCCUUCGGGUUGUAAAGCUCUUUUAGUCGGAAAGAAAGAGUUGCAAUGAAUAAUUGUGAUUUAUGACGGUACCGACAGAAAAAGCACCGGCUAACUACGUGCCAGCAGCCGCGGUAAUACGUAGGGUGCGAGCGUUAAUCGGAAUUACUGGGCGUAAAGGGUGCGCAGGCGGUCUUGCAAGUCAGAUGUUAAAGCCCCGGGCUUAACCUGGGAAUUGCGUUUGAAACUACAAGGCUAGAGUGCAGCGGAGGGGAGUGGAAUUCCAUGUGUAGCAGUGAAAUGCGUAGAGAUGUGGAAGAACACCGAUGGCGAAGGCAGCUCCCUGGGUUGACACUGACGCUCAUGCACGAAAGCGUGGGGAGCAAACA